GACGAACGCUGGCGGCGUGCCUAAUACAUGCAAGUAGAACGCUGAAGGAGGAGCUUGCUCUUCUGGAUGAGUUGCGAACGGGUGAGUAACGCGUAGGUAACCUGCCUGGUAGCGGGGGAUAACUAUUGGAAACGAUAGCUAAUACCGCAUAACAGUAGAUAUUGCAUGAUAUCUGCUUGAAAGGUGCAAUUGCAUCACUACCAGAUGGACCUGCGUUGUAUUAGCUAGUUGGUGAGGUAACGGCUCACCAAGGCGACGAUACAUAGCCGACCUGAGAGGGUGAUCGGCCACACUGGGACUGAGACACGGCCCAGACUCCUACGGGAGGCAGCAGUAGGGAAUCUUCGGCAAUGGACGGAAGUCUGACCGAGCAACGCCGCGUGAGUGAAGAAGGUUUUCGGAUCGUAAAGCUCUGUUGUAAGAGAAGAACGAGUGUGAGAGUGGAAAGUUCA
rnacentral:rRNA from 1 species